GACGAACGCUGGCGGCGCGCUUCAUACAUGCAAGUCGAGCGAGAAUCCGGCCUUCGGGCCGGAGGAAAGCGGCGAACGGGUGAGUAACACGUGGGUAAUCUGCCCUCGGCACCGGGAUAGCCUGAGGAAACUCUGAUUAAUACCGGAUAGCCCGUCUGCUCUUCGGGGUGGACAGAAAAGGUAGCUUCGGCCUCUGGCCGGGGAUGAGCCCGCGGCGGAUUAGCUUGUUGGCGGGGUAAUGGCCCACCAAGGCGACGAUCCGUAGCUGGUCUGAGAGGACGAUCAGCCACACUGGGACUGAGACACGGCCCAGACACCUACGGGAGGCAG
rnacentral:rRNA from 1 species